GCAUGUGAGGGCGAUCUGGCUGCGACAUCUGUCACCCCAUUGAUCGCCAGGGUUGAUUCGGCUGAUCUGGCUGGCUAGGCGGGUGUCCCCUUCCUCCCUCACCGCUCCAUGUGCGUCCCUCCCGAAGCUGCACGCUCGGUGGAAGAGGACGACCAUCCCAGAUAGAAGGAGUGUACCGUUCUUCGGUCAAGGGUAUACGAUAGCUGCGCUCCCCUGCUAGAACCUCCAAACAAGCUCAAGGCUAUUUUUAUGUUCUUAUGUUAAUCACAGAGAACUUGUAGGCUAAAACCAAAGCAAUGUUUAAUUUAAACCCCUCCCCGG